ACAGAUGCCGCAGCGCCACUGAUUUGUAAGGUUAACAUUAUAGAACCACGGCUGCCUAGUUAGUUUCGUUAAAGAAACUGAUUUUAAAAACGUUGAACGGAUAGAAAUAGUCUGGCAAAGCGUUGCGAAUUGAAAAUUCUUGCGCAAUGCAAAUGGGAUAUAAUGGAGGGAAUAAACAUAGUCCCUGUGAUCAUCCAUGAGAGAAGAUGAAGAAGAGGUCCCUGCGUAUGGAUUGAGGAGGAGGCAAAGAGCCAGUGAAAACAAUUGAAUUUUAACUUGAGGCAGACUGUCUUAGUUCACCGCCAGAGGCGCUGUAGUGGGGGAAAAAGGAAAGCUUGUCACAAAUUUCCACGAAAUAUUAUGUUUACCCCAUUAUUAUCCACUUUUUAAAUUCAUCAAAUAAGUGAAUUAUCAGUGUAUGUCUGUCAGUAUUGCCAUCAUCUUCUUGAUCAACUUUGAAGCAAAAAGCAUGCUGUUUAAAAAGCCAUAUGUUGGCAAAGUUAUUUUUCAAUCUCCUUGUGUAUGAUAGGGAUUUCUGUAGCAAUUCCGUCUGUUUGCUGUUCUGACGACAAACUCACUGAAGAGGUGUGCCAGUCAUGAAACAACUUCUUAAUGAAAGAAAUGCCACGCCUUUUCUUGCUGGGUAUGUUAAUCCAGGCAUCUUUGUCACAAAUAUAUCUGAAUUAACCUACCCGACGUAAAAUCAAGUCAUCAGUGAAAAAAAGGUUGGAAAAAUGACCAUAUUCUAUAUGACUGUUGAUGAAAUAAAAGGGCAUGCGAUAAAUUGCAAGUAUGUGUUACCUAACUGUUAUUGAUGUUGUGACUUUUGAUGUUUGUGUCUAAGUGUUCCAAUUAGUCGAAUUUUAAUUUUGAAGAAUUCUUCAAUCUAAAUUGAUUCCAUCUCAGUAGAAAAUAACGUUUAAUAUGAUUCAAGGGGAAAAAUAUAAAGGUAACUCAAGGCUAUUAAGCUUAAUAUAUACACCUUGAUAAAAUUUGAUAUUAUUCAGCUUUUUAUUCCUUUUGGUGAUUAAGUGAAUGUGACUCCUCUUUGUUUAUCACUGGCGUUUCCAAGAAAUUAAAUCUCGCAUUUAGCUCUAGUGUUCUCUUUAGCCAUGAGCUCUAGUUUUUAAGCAAAAAACACUUAUUAGUUCUGAACUUGUCGAACGUGAAGCAAUCAAGCUCAUUGUUAAACAGAACAAACGUAAAUCAAUUGGUUAGUUAAAAUUACAAUUUAAUUUCAGUUUAAAGGUUAAUUCGAGUUGCAUCUACGUUAUAUUUCAGAAAAUUAUAUCUCAAAAUUAUUAAUAAUUAUGUAUGGGCAUUAAUGUGUAUGUUUAGUUGUAUGUAUAUGUUAGUUGUAUGUAAUGAAAUUACUGGUCAUUAAAAUUGCUGUACCAGGAAGGAAUGCCAAUAACAGAAUAAUAUUUAUUGGGCACAUGCAUUAAAGUGGGAAGAACAAGUUAUUAAAUUUUCAGGAUAUUUGGAUGUUUAGAUCCUGAGGUAUCAGUACUCAGCAGCCUCCCCCGGCAGUAAUAAUAAUAGCAGUUAUUCUCCUGGGCAUCGAGUCGAGCAGAAGCUAGAUAGCAUAGACGGGUACAGCAUUUCAUGCAGUUUCAAUAUUAUGCCACAAUUAAUCGAUCGACGAGUGGUGGCGUGCCACUCAUUCGACAACCACUGACCAGACGUUUUCAAUUUAUGAGAGAUCAGAAGAACGUGCUGCCCAGGGCAACAGGCGAACAUGUUUUGUAUCAAGGAAGGUCAGGAUAGUGCGGGCAACCUGCGGUCGUACAUUGUCUGCUGAAACGUAGCGUUAUGGAGGCCUCGAAGAUAAGGUAGAGCAACUGGCCCUAACACAUCAGAAAUGUAACGGCAGCUGUUCGAAGUGCCGGCAAUGAACAAGAGGUGAUCGAGACGUGUAUCCAGUGGCACCCCAUACUAUUACUCCAGGUGAUGGGCCAGUAUGACGAUGUCGAAUGCAAGCUGCCAAUGGGCGUUCUCCACAAUGUCGCCAAACACGGAUGCGGCUAUCAUGAUGCUAUAUACCGAACCUGGAUUCGUCUGAAAAGACGUCAUGCCAUUCCUGUGUCCAAGUUCGUCGUUGAUCACACCAUUGGAGGCGCUCCUGUCUGUGAUGCAGCGUCAAGGAUAGCCGAAGCCAUGGUCACCGUGCUGACAGUCCAUGCUACUGCAAACGCAUCGAACUGUUCGUGCAGACACUUGUCUUACAAAUGACCCCAUUUGGUGACUCAGGGUUCGUGACGAAGCUGUACGAUUCCUUAAGGCCAUGUGAAUAAUAUGUCUGUCUACUGGGCUGUUAGUGAUGGGGCCGCUGAGAUCCUGCACAGCGUUCCAUGUGACCGUCAUGAACCCAUCGAUUUCAUAUUCUAGUAAUAAUCAUGGGAUCCCGACCAACGCGAGAAGCAAUACUUCGGUAUGAUAAACCGCAAUCCCGGUAGGCCACAAUUCGACCUCGAUCAAACUCGGACACUGCUCGUAGGUAUUUCUACUUACACGAGUCAAAAACUUUUUUACUCAAGAACAUCGCUCAAAUUUUUCUGUAUGAGAAACUCAGUGACAAAUCUCUUUCAUACACAUUGUAGGUGUCACAACCGCCGCCUGCCUUGCUUGAAUGCGCUGAUAAGCUAAUCAUUUGCAUACCACAACAUGCUUUAUCCAUCCUGCAAGUUUCUCGUUUGUGGUGAGUCGCCUUCCUAGUGUAACAAUUUUCAUGGCCAGUAGUGUAUAUAUAUGUAUGAAGUGUGACACAUUUUAUUAUAUUUGUAUUGCUGAAUUUUUGCACUUACUAAAUUUCUUAUGGAAAUUAAUGACAUUCAAAUAGUACAGGCAAGUAAAUUUUAUAUCUUGCGAUAUAUUUUAUAACAAAAAUGACCAAAGGUAUUGAAACUUGAGUUACUUAUAUAUAUUUAUACAUAAAUUAACUCCUGCAGGACCGGCAGAAAGAGAAACGCCUUCUAACUGUGGAUAUUAAAAAGUACGCAUAUGUACCAAUACCAAAUUACGGUAUUAUCACUGUACAGUAAUGAUCUUGGUUCGCUAAGAAUUAGAAGGGCAUGUUUUCUACAUGAUAAUGGGGACUAUGGAGGUAAAAUCGCGUCAUCACAUAUAUGUGAUCACGGUCCUGAAGGUGUUAAACUUUACUAAGUAAAUUUUUCGAUAUUUAAACUACUUUGGACCACUCUACAAUUGUUUAGAUUUUCAACUUAUUUUUUAUACGGUUUCAAAGCAUGCAUAAGUAUUUCAACUACGCAAGUUUUGGUCUUGUUCCUUUUUAUUUACUGAAAUAAUUUUUUUUUUAUUCUGUCUCUGAAUACCUUGUUUCUACUUGCAAUUUAAGGUGACAUAAAUUAGCUUCAACUUAACACGUUGAGUGCCAUGGGCGUCACUGGUGACCGACACUGAGUUUGUUCGUAGCACCACGAGGCGAAGAAACUAAUGCAAUACAUACUGAGAAAAUCAUUUUGGUUAGGCGGGCAAGUCAUAUAAAAUUAGCGAGGUGUCCAACGUGCUGGUUAGACCUCUUCUAAGAUCAAAAGCGUCACAUCAGGAAUGAUUUUCUAAAUUUUUCAACGUCAUUUACUUAAAACUACAAAAACAC
rnacentral:misc_RNA from 1 species